GUGAGGAAUAUUGGACAAUGGGCGCAAGCCUGAUCCAGCAAUGCCGCGUGGGUGAAGAAGGUCUUCGGAUCGUAAAGCCCUUUCGACAGGGACGAUGAUGACGGUACCUGUAGAAGAAGCCCCGGCUAACUUCGUGCCAGCAGCCGCGGUAAUACGAAGGGGGCUAGCGUUACUCGGAAUUACUGGGCGUAAAGGGCGCGUAGGCGGCUCUGUUAGUCAGGCGUGAAAUUCCUGGGCUUAACCUGGGGACUGCGCUUGAUACUGCAGGGCUUGAGGCCGAGAGAGGGUGGUGGAAUUCCCAGUGUAGAGGUGAAAUUCGUAGAUAUUGGGAAGAACACCGGUGGCGAAGGCGACCACCUGGCUCGGUUCUGACGCUGAGGCGCGACAGCGUGGGGAGCAAACAGGAUUAGAAACCCCAGUAGUCC
rnacentral:rRNA from 1 species